UAGUAGCGAUAAUUAGUAUCGACCUCUUAUCUGGCAACGUCUUAAAAAUGACAGUUGAAACCACCAGCUGGUGAAUACCGAAGUGCAAAUCGGUGAAGGGUUCUUCGGGUCUCCAGCUUCUGGCUUCGAUCUUUUCUAUUGGAGUCGUCAAGCUGAGAAGUUGGUCCCGAACCCAGCUGGGAAAAUAUACAAGUGAGCAUAUGCACAUGUGCUCCGGACCCUAAUCCCACUGCUAUUUCGGCAUCGGUUGAAAAAGGCCAUCAACAAACGCCAAUCUACCGGCUGCCAAAGAUUGCCGUGUCGGCAAGGUCACGCUUAUUUUCUUCGACUACACGGCGAGAAAUCGCUAGGUCGAUUGAGCAGAAAAAAAUACAAGAAAAGGAAGCACUGGAUAAACGAGGCAGCAAAACAGGCGGCUGGAACAGCUAUCUCUGCUGGGGAAAAUUUAUUUGGAGUUCGCAGCA